rnacentral:tRNA from 1 species
GCAUUCAGUCCCACCAGGGCCGCUGCACCGUCACUAGAGCCGCCCGCCAAUCCCGCUCCGAUCGGAAUUCGUU